GAUGAACGCUGGCGGCGUGCCUAACACAUGCAAGUCGAGCGAGAAGGUGAUGACUGAUUCUUCGGAUGAAGGAUUCACUGGAGAGCGGCGGACGGGUGAGUAACGCGUGGGUAAUCUGCCCUGUGGAGGGGGAUAACAUUCUGAAAAGAAUGCUAAUACCGCAUAAGCAUACGAGAUCGCAUGAUCAAGUGUGAAAAACUCCGGUGCCACAGGAUGAGCCCGCGUAAGAUUAGCUAGUUGGUAAGGUAAUGGCUUACCAAGGCAACGAUCUUUAGCCGACCUGAGAGGGUGAUCGGCCACACUGGAACUGAGACACGGCCCAGACUCCUACGGGAGCAGCAGUGGGGAAUAUUGCACAAUGGGCGAAAGCCUGAUGCAGCGACGCCGCGUGAACGAUGAAGGCUUUCGAGUCGUAAAGUUC
rnacentral:rRNA from 1 species